UGCAUGGUGGGAAUGACUUAACUAAGUGCAAUGGAGCCAACAUCAUAUCAUUGUGAGGCUUCAUUCUCUAAAGGCCAAAUAAGAUGGGUACUUGCAAGAGAUGCAAAUGUGUAAGCGUACUGUCUCAUUAUUAUUGAUGCUAGCCAACAUCAUAUCAUUGUGAGGUGGGCUUGGUAAUGAUGAGUCUCCCAUACCCUACUAAGAGUUUCCUCUAAAACUCUCGAAUUCCGAUGAGGGAUAUGGAAUUUGCCAAAAAUAGUGGGUGGUGCUAUUUGAUUUAAAGACCCGGAUCAAAUGGCUUAAAAUCAAUCAAUUUAUAUUCGUUAUGUAUUUAUUUACCAAUAUAUUUGCAAACGCUAUCCAAAACUUGACAAAGAAAAAGCCGAAAGCUUUAGUUUUUGGACUUAUUACUACAAUCCCAUAGAUUGUCUUUAAUGGCUUGUAUAUGUACCUAAAUAGUCUCAUCCUCACAAUCUUCCUAUUGAUAAUGUAUCAUUGGAAGAACAUGUUAGAUAAGUCUAUCAUAAAGAGGAGAACACUUUUAAUGUCAUAAUUCUUCAAUUACAAAUUGUUGUAUGAAGAAGUAACAGUUGCUUUGAACAACCCUUAGUUAACGCAAACAUUAGUGCUCGUUUCUUUGUUACAUGAACAAGGAACUUGAGAAGUAAGCACAAGGGCAUGGACACUUUAUGUGCCAUGAUUCUUCACUUACAAAUUGUUGCAUGAAGAAAUGAGAGUUGCCUUGAACAACUCUUGAAAGUUUGUAAUUGUGUUUAGAACAUAAUGGUUGGUUGACAAAAAUAGUCCAUCAACAUGGACUUAUGAUGAUUUUGAAUCAUUGAGUGUCGAAGUGUUAAACCACUUCUAGAGAUGGAAACUAGGGAAGGACUUCACUUUCCUGUCCCUAUCCAAAUGGUUCACUAACUUUAUUGUAAACUAUAUAGUGAACAAUAACCACACGCUCUCCAAAUUGUUUGAUGUAUAUAAGACAAUUGAAAUAUGUUUCAAGAGAGAUAAUGGGAGUUUAGGGACCAUGACGAUUGUAGUCAAAGGAGAAGUCAAAUGAAGAAGGCAAAAUAACUCCAAGGGAACAAACUUUCUUUAUGAAAGGAUGGACAUUGGAAGGGGUAUUUGCAAGAAAUGUCUUGCAAGUGUCAAGAACACACAUUUCGAAGGUGUUGUAAAUUGUUCUUGAAUAGUUCAAAAUAGUUGGUUCUUCUACUUGAAUGCUUGAUUCCGUAUUAGUAACUAUGUUUUACAAUCGUUGUAAAAGUGUGGCUAAUAAGAAGUAGAAGAUAAAUGAGAGAAGAAAAAGUACUUCACAUUCAGAACGUGAAUCAAAUGUAGAUCUCUGCGAAAGCAGGUAGUACUUACUUCCUCAUAUGAACUACCAAACAAAAUGGAAAAACAAAGAUUGCCUUUACUUUCCAAUUGAAUAAAAGAACUUAAUUCCGU
rnacentral:lncRNA from 1 species